CUGAAAUCGCAUUGUGAUUAUAAAAGUUAAAUAUCACUAUGUUAAAAUUAUUGAGAUUAAUCAGGUCAAAUUGGGCAGGUCAAGACCCAACCCGUUUUUUAGCCCAUUUGAACCCAACCCAUUUGAGCCCAAACUAAACUUGAGCGGGUCAAGACCCAACCCGAUUUCUAUUUCAACCCAUUUUAAUAUCUCCAAUUUCAA
rnacentral:lncRNA from 1 species